AGAAAGAAAGAAAGAAAGAAAGAAAGAAAGAAAGAGAAAGAAAGGGUUCAACGUGACCCUCAGGUUCACAUGUGUGACAGAUACCCAAAUGUCACAAUACUGGAGAGAAUCUGUGUAUUGGGGAUAUUGGGGAGGUGGCUCAGGGUUGAUCCUGGGCCCUGGUUAAGGAGCAGAGACAUGAUGGAGCCCAUUUCAAGCAUGGAGGAUGGGGAGCCACAGCCUCCCAUCUUUACUUGGUAAAUGCUGCUACUAAGAGAAAACGGGAAGUCUGUGGAAGGGACUUGUUUGUAGAUGAAACCCUCAAUCUGACCAGGAAGAGUCAUGUUUUCUGCCCAUGUUUUCUUUACCUGGAGUCCUGGGCACCUUCCCUGUGUGGGGGGCCCUUGUGGUUCCUCUGCUGUCUAGCACAGAGGUGGGAAUCUCCUCCUCAGUGACUCCUCGGUGGUCCCAGACUACAGUGGUGACUCAACUUUGGUCUGUGUACUCUGAAUGCAGAUCUUUCUCCACCUUGAAAAUCUUCAUCUCUCUCUUUCUACUCCUGUCUGUGAUAAUCUGUGUAUUCAGCAAUAUUAAAUGUACCAUUUCUUAGUGCUCAGGGUAGAUGAGGAUCCUCGAGUGGGAUCAUCAAUUGUCCAACACCCUGAUUUUCUCAAAUUACAACCCUACGUCUUACUCAGUCCUGGGACUUAACCAUCACUGAGCUCCUUUGAAGUCCCAGUCACCACCGACCCCCACGACCCCUCUGAUGAGUGGGGUGUGUAACAACUUGCUCCACACAAGGAAACUGAGGCUCAGAGAAGGGAGUAUGAAGGCUCAGGGUCACAUAGGCAGCAGAUAAUGAGCAAUCAUUAAGGAAAAAUCAGCUCCCCAUCCCAACAGGUGAGUUCCUCUCAGGUAACAAAGGACACCGAAGACUCAGGAGUGGAUCACAAGUCUGUUUCCAAGAAGACGAAGAUGGACACUGCUACUAAGAGAAAAGGAAAGUCCAUGGAGGGCGCUGGUUGGUAGAGAACACUGGCAACAUUGGAUACAGGUCAUGUUCUCCGCCCAUAUUUCCUGUGUUUCUCCAUUGCGCCCACUGAACUACACAGCCAGAUGUCAGAUGUGUCUCUGCUGACCUGAGUCUGCCCUGCAGCAUGGACCUGCAUCUUCCCUGAAGCAUCUCCAUGGUGGAUGAGAUGACUGGCCAUGGUAAGGACCCCACAACCCUGUGUUGACAGACAGGAUGAAGGAGUGAAGGAGACCCCAUGUGGAGGCUCUGAGAGGGGAGGAGAAGCCCUCAGUUACCCUCACCUGGAAAAGGCUCACUCAGGGAGACCCUGGGCCUGUUUUCUACUGCAUUCCAGCCCUCAAUCAGAUGAGGACAGAUCCUGCAGCCAGUAGCCAAGGAUCAGGGGGCGCCCCCUUCCGUCUGAAAUGUGUUCAGGGAACCUGGGGCUCACUCCCACCUCAGCCCUGGUGAAAUGAGGGCCAGGUUUCUGCAGUUCCCCUUCCUGUGGGACUGCUGAUGGGACAACCCCGUGACAGGGAGAACCCAGCCUCUGAGUGUGUCUGUCUGUCCUCCUGGACACCGUGGUUUCAUCCAUCUGGGCAGCUGGGGCCAGUAGGAGGAGAAGCCAUGACCCCACCCUCACAGACCUACCCUGACUUGGGCUGAGUCUGAGCCCCAGGACCCACGUGCAGGCAGGCUCCUCCCUAAACCCACCACCUGGGCUGAGCCAGACUGUGUGAUCACCGGGAGGAGACCUGUGACCACCUGGUGUCAGGGUACCCUGGAGGCCCAAGAGUACCAGCUGGAUAAAGAGGGAAGCUCAGUGUCAUGGAACAUUAAGGAAACCACUGGGGUCUGGGAACAAGACCAGGGCCCGUAUCUCACACAGGCCGGAGCACAGUGCAGAGAAGCAUUGCUGUUAUUAUCAAAGUGCCACAGGCCGGUCAGGGCACAGUGACCCCCUGGAGCUGGUGGUGACAGGGAUGUCCCAUAAAGGGGCAGAAGCGCUGAAGCUCUCGACCUCUGGGCGGCCCUGCAUAUUGCACUGAAGCUCUCGACCUCUGGGCGGCCCUGCAUAUCGUGUAGAAUCAUCUGCAAAUCAGGCUUGAGUCUUCACUUUCUCUGUCAACUGAUCACAGAGAAAUCCCCAUGAAAUUACAGGUGCAGGCUGGAAGGCAGAAGUUGUGGAGCAGGGGCAGGAACCAUGGGUCUUUGGCCCCCUGCAUUGUGUAAAUUACUCACACUUUCAGGGCCUGAGUGGACAUGAUCUUACUAUACAGCUUGCAUCAGCUAACACACACUUCACAUUUCACGGUACCUUGGUGACCUACGCCCAAGCAUCCAGUGUCUCCUAAGCCUCAAUAAUGGAGAAAAAUAUACUUUCUUUUUUAAAUUUUCUUUUAUUUUCUUUUUCUUUCUUUUCUUUUCUUUUUUUUUUUUUU